rnacentral:rRNA from 1 species
UACGAAGGGGGCUAGCGUUGCUCGGAAUCACUGGGCGUAAAGGGUGCGUAGGCGGGUCUUUAAGUCAGGGGUGAAAUCCUGGAGCUCAACUCCAGAACUGCCUUUGAUACUGAGAAGCUUGAGUCCGGGAGAGGUGAGUGGAACUGCGAGUGUAGAGGUGAAAUUCGUAGAUAUUCGCAAGAACACCAGUGGCGAAGGCGGGCUACUGGGCCGAUACUGACGCUGAGGCGCGAAAGCCAGGGGAGCAAACGGG